AUCGCUUCUCGGCCUUUUGGCUAAGAUCAAGUGUAGUAGAAGCUAUGAGAUUCCAGGUUCCUCGAGGUGACUAGAUGAAGGAGAUACACUCAAGCAUUUGAAGUCCUACCCUGGAGGAGAUUGUAGGUUCUUUAAAAUCUUCUAAGUGAAACAACCAAAAAACAGUAGCAAUAGCAUUUCCUUGCUAAUGCUGAUCCUUU